AGUGGACCAUCCCAAUUCCCAAGUCUUCUUCUCCCCAGUCCCCACGGCUUCUCUCUGUCUGCAGGAAGCGCGUCCGCUGCCGCCGGCCGAUUCUUCGUCUUCACGCGCACCCAGGGUAGAGCAGCCCCACCACGCCUGGUCGUCCUCUCCUCUCCUCCACUAAUGCUUCCCCAUCACGGCUCCUCUUCUCCCGCUAGCCCCGAGCCACCGCCGUCAUCGUCCUUCGCCGCCGUGCCGUUUCAGAGCCCCUCCGCAGCCGGUGAAGACUUCCUCGUGACCCUGGACGCCCACUCUUCCACUUUUCUGUGCUCGGCACUGCCCCGGUUCACCUCGACACCGCCAGCCGUGCCACCAUCCACCCUCCGCACAAGUAACAACAAGAAGCUCAUUGUGUGGUAGAGGAUCCGAAUUUGUUUGAGGACGAUCCACAUGACAUUUUUGUGCAAGAGGGUGAUGAAGAAGACUUUGAUGGAGAUUUUGAUGAAUACUGAGUCUAACGAUGCGCCGGUCAUCUUCCUGUGGGAGAUUACCCAUGUUAUUUCCGCUAUACUUUGAUGAUACUGUUUAAGAUACUUAUGUCUGGAUGAUGUAAUAAAG
rnacentral:misc_RNA from 1 species